GAUAGGAUAGCUCAGUUGGUAGAGCGCCGGAAUAAGAAAUCCGAAGGUCGCAGGUUCAAACCCUGCUCCAGUCA